AUCUGUUCAAAGUACUUCUCACUUGAUGCAUGUGUCUUGCCGCAAAUCUUCUACGCGCGAUAUCUGCAUUUUGUAAAAUCUCUGAAAAACUACUGCCAUGACAAACCGACGCCCGUGGGUGAAUGCAGCUCAACGUGGAUCAAACAUUCCGAGCAAAAGAGGCAAACCAAAGUCAGCAGUAACCAAUCCUUUCAAUUAUUGAGAGAGAGAGAGAGAGAUGAAUGGGACCCCAACUUUCCCACCGCCCGACCAUUACAAGCUGUGACUGCGGUGCACUCGUGCGCUUGGUUGGUUCUGAUGAACCUUAUAAUUUCAUAUCUUGGCAGAACAUGUACGGCUUAAAACGUGUACGAGUUUUUCGUGCUGACUUGAUUUCUUUUUAAUAAGUGUAAUGAGAUUAAGCAUUGGGCAUCCAGAUCACAUGACCAUUCGACCAGACAAUUUAAGCUACACUCCAAUCUCUCGUUGUAACUUGAUUUCAUCAUUUUGUGUAUGUUGCCCUAUAUAGACGUCCGAACAUAGGAUUUUAUCAUUUGUGAGACUAAAAACAUUUCAUUACAUUUUGAUAA